rnacentral:tRNA from 1 species
GGAUUGUAGCUCAGUGGUAGAGUGCUUGCCUUGCAUUUGUGAGGCCCUGGGUUCAAUCCUCAGCACCA